rnacentral:lncRNA from 1 species
GUGUAAUUCAAGCUUUGGAAUUAUGUGCUGCAUUGUUUUUCUGCUCUGUAGGGGUGAUGCCAUGGCCCACAUUUAUACGGCUCUACCUAAGCUCUCUUGAUGGGAGUUUCUUUGAUUUUGGGGGUGUGGGUAUUCCCUUCGUCAGUAUAAGCCACUUACAGUCACCCCCAGAUUCCAGCAUGCCCUGGUGAGGAGUUUCUUUAGCACCAUCGGCCCACUACCCACAGACAUCACUGUUUAUCAUUGGGUCAGACCUGAAGCUUUUCCGGUUUGGCAGGAUUUGCCAACACAUACACUUCGCUGCCAGUUCCCUCAGCAGCCCUCCAUGGAGCACCCUCAGAAGUUCUUCCUCUAGCCAGAGGAGUGGUUUCACCAUGCCAGCACUGUGUAAGGCACCCUAUGUAACGCUGUCCAUUGCAAGCUGGCUGGAUGCCCUUUUCCCAAAGAUGCCUUUGGCCCCCUUGGACACAGCAGAGAUUAUCCGUCAAUGUCUUAGUGAAGUGGUUGGAUCAGAUGGGAAGAUGUUCUGGGUGUGGUCCCCCACAGGCCAAACCAGUUCAAACUCAUUCUACCAAUGCAGGUAGCAUGUCCUAGCAUUUGAGAUGUGGGGAACAGAAGAGAUGCAUCAGGACUGGAGAUGGCAUGUGGCCCUCUUUGCAGAAAAGGAACUAGGGUGGAUUCUUCACGUCAAUUGGCCAAUGAGCUUAACUUCUAUUUCUGGCCGAACAGCAACUUUGAAAAGAAGCUGAGUAACCCUUUAUGACAAUAUGGAGGCAAAAGCCCCUUCCCAUGGCAGAAUAGGCAUGCUCCAUAGAGAAAGACAGGACGUGAGGAGAUGCAUCUUCUGAGUUAAGGGAACCAUGAGGACCUGAGCCAGCAGGGGCUGCUGGGCCAAGCCAGGAGCUGGGAGACCUGGGAUAACUGUGAGACUGCUAAGAAGUAGCAGGGGUGGCCAGGAGACAGGAUGAAAGCAUAAGCACUAUAGACAGCAGAGAGGAGGCAGAGGGUGCUGAACCAGCACCUGGAACCCCCCAACAGUCAUGCAUCAGGCAGUCUUGGGUAGUUGGACUUGAGAACCCUUGAUAACCAGGCCAGUCUCUUACCUGUACAUGAAGCGUUUUUCAAUAAACCUGUCCUAUUUUUAAAAGAACUAAAACA